UGAGUAACGCGUGAGGAACCUGCCUUCCAGAGGGGGACAACAGUUGGAAACGACUGCUAAUACCGCAUGAUGUGUUUCGAUGGCAUCAUCGAGACACCAAAGAUUUAUCGCUGGAAGAUGGCCUCGCGUCUGAUUAGCUAGUAGGCGGGGUAACGGCCCACCUAGGCGACGAUCAGUAGCCGGACUGAGAGGUUGACCGGCCACAUUGGGACUGAGACACGGCCCAGACUCCUACGGGAGGCAGCAG
rnacentral:rRNA from 1 species